AGGAUGAACGCUAGCGGCAGGCCUAAUACAUGCAAGUCGUGGGGUAACGAGAGAAGCUUGCUUCUCGUCGACGACCGGCGCACGGGUGAGUAACGCGUAUGCAACUUGCCCCUAACUGGAGGAUAGCCCAGAGAAAUCUGGAUUAAUACUGCAUAACACUAUGGAUCAGCAUUUUUCUAUAGUUAAAGCUUUCGAGCGGUUAGGGAUGGGCGUGCGUGACAUUAGUUUGUUGGUGAGGUAACGGCUCACCAAGACUACGAUGUCUAGGGGGUCUGAGAGGAUGGUCCCCCACACUGGUACUGAGACACGGACCAGACUCCUACGGGAGGCAGCAGUAAGGAAUAUUGGGCAAUGGGCGCAAGCCUGACCCAGCCAUGCCGCGUGCAGGAUGACAGCUCUAGAAGUUGUAAACUGCUUUUAUGCAGGAAGAAUCAUGGAUACGUGUAUCCAUCUGACGGUACUGUACGAAUAAGGAUCGGCUAACUCCGUGCCAGCAGCCGCGGUAAUACGGAGGAUCCAAGCGUUAUCCGGAUUUAUUGGGUUUAAAGGGUUCGUAGGCGGAAUCGUAAGUCAGUGGUGAAAUCCUACAGCUUAACUGUAGAACUGCCAUUGAUACUGCAAUUCUUGAGUAUAGUUGAUGUGGGCGGAAUGUGUCAUGUAGCGGUGAAAUGCAUAGAUAUGACACAGAACGCCGAUAGUGAAGACAGCUCACAAAACUAUUACUGACGCUGAGGAACGAAAGCGCGGGUAGCGAACAGGAUUAGAUACCCUGGUAGUCUACGCCGUAAACGAUGAUAACUAGUUGUUGGCGAUAUACUGUCAGCGACCAAGCGAAAGCGAUAAGUUAUCCACCUGGGGAGUACGAUCGCAAGGUUGAAACUCAAAGGAAUUGACGGGGGCCCGCACAAGCGGUGGAGCAUGUGGUUUAAUUCGAUGAUACGCGAGGAACCUUACCUGGGCUUAAAUGUAUUAUGACCGGCUGGGAAACCAGUCUUCUCUUCGGAGCAUUUUACAAGGUGCUGCAUGGCUGUCGUCAGCUCGUGCCGUGAGGUGUUGGGUUAAGUCCCGUAACGAGCGCAACCCCUAUCCUUAGUUGCCAGCGAGUAAUGUCGGGGACUCUAAGGAAACUGCCGGUGCAAACCGUGAGGAAGGUGGGGAUGACGUCAAGUCAGCACGGCCCUUACGUCCAGGGCUACACACGUGCUACAAUGGCCGACACAAAGGGCAGCUACCUGGUGACAGGAUGCUAAUCUCUAAAGUCGGUCUCAGUUCGGAUUGGAGUCUGCAAUUCGACUCCAUGAAGCCGGAAUCGCUAGUAAUCGGAUAUCAGCAACGAUCCGGUGAAUACGUUCCCGGGCCUUGUACACACCGCCCGUCAAGCCACGGAAGCCGGGGGUACCUGAAGUCUGUAACCGCAAGGAGCGGCCUAAGGUAAAACCGGUAACUGGGGCU
rnacentral:rRNA from 1 species